UGGGAAGUGCGGCAGCUAUACAUGCAAGUCGAGCGAACAGACGAGGAGCUUGCUCCUCUGACGUUAGCGGCGGACGGGUGAGUAACACGUGGAUAACCUACCUAUAAGACUGGGAUAACUUCGGGAAACCGGAGCUAAUACCGGAUAAUAUAUUGAACCGCAUGGUUCAAUAGUGAAAGACGGUUUUGCUGUCACUUAUAGAUGGAUCCGCGCCGCAUUAGCUAGUUGGUAAGGUAACGGCUUACCAAGGCAACGAUGCGUAGCCGACCUGAGAGGGUGAUCGGCCACACUGGAACUGAGACACGGUCCAGACUCCUACGGGAGGCAGCAGUAGGGAAUCUUCCGCAAUGGGCGAAAGCCUGACGGAGCAACGCCGCGUGAGUGAUGAAGGUCUUCGGAUCGUAAAACUCUGUUAUUAGGGAAGAACAAAUGUGUAAGUAACUAUGCACGUCUUGACGGUACCUAAUCAGAAAGCCACGGCUAACUACGUGCCAGCAGCCGCGGUAAUACGUAGGUGGCAAGCGUUAUCCGGAAUUAUUGGGCGUAAAGCGCGCGUAGGCGGUUUUUUAAGUCUGAUGUGAAAGCCCACGGCUCAACCGUGGAGGGUCAUUGGAAACUGGAAAACUUGAGUGCAGAAGAGGAAAGUGGAAUUCCAUGUGUAGCGGUGAAAUGCGCAGAGAUAUGGAGGAACACCAGUGGCGAAGGCGACUUUCUGGUCUGUAACUGACGCUGAUGUGCGAAAGCGUGGGGAUCAAACAGGAUUAGAUACCCUGGUAGUCCACGCCGUAAACGAUGAGUGCUAAGUGUUAGGGGGUUUCCGCCCCUUAGUGCUGCAGCUAACGCAUUAAGCACUCCGCCUGGGGAGUACGACCGCAAGGUUGAAACUCAUAGAAUUGAUGGAGACCCGCACAAGCGGCGGAGCAUGUGGUUUAAUUUCGAAGCA
rnacentral:rRNA from 1 species